rnacentral:rRNA from 1 species
CCUACGGGAGACAGCAGUAGGGAAUAUUGCUCAAUGGGGGAAACCCUGAAGCAGCAACGCCGCGUGGAGGAUGAAGGUUUUCGGAUUGUAAACUCCUUUUGUUAGAGAAGAUAAUGACGGUAUCUAACGAAUAAGCACCGGCUAACUCCGUGCCAGCAGCCGCGGUAAUACGGAGGGUGCAAGCGUUACUCGGAAUCACUGGGCGUAAAGCGCGCGUAGGCGGGAUAGCAAGUCAGAUGUGAAAUCCUAUGGCUUAACCAUAGAACUGCAUUUGAAACUGUUAUUCUAGAGUAUGGGAGAGGUAUGUGGAAUUCUUGGUGUAGGGGUAAAAUCCGUAGAGAUCAAGAGGAAUACUCAUUGCGAAGGCGACCUGCUGGAACAUAACUGACGCUGAUGCGCGAAAGCGUGGGGAGCAAACAGGAUUAGAUACCCGGGUAGUC